rnacentral:rRNA from 1 species
AUUGAACGCUGGCGACACGCUUAACACAUGCAAGUCGAGCGGUAACAUGACUAGUAGCAAUACUAGUUGAUGACGAGCGGCGGACGGGUGAGUAACACGUAGGAACUUGCCUAGUAGUGGGGGACAACCAAGGGAAACUUUGGUUAACACCGCAUACUCUCGAGAGAGGAAAGCUGCCGCAAGGUGGCGCUAUUGGAGAGGCCUGCGUCCGAUUAGCUAGUUGGUGAGGUAAUAGCUUACCAAGGCGAGGAUCGGUAACUGGUCUGAGAGGACGACCAGUAACACUGGAACUGAGACACGGCCCAGACUCCCACGGGAGGCAGCAGUGGGGAAUCUUGGACAAUGGGGGCAACCCUGAUCCAGCGAUGCCGCGUGAGUGAAGAAGGCCUUCGGGUCGUAAAGCUCUUUAGGCUGGGAAGAAGACUAGUAGUUUAAGAGAUAAUUAGUUUGACUGUACCAGCAGAAUAAGCACCGGCAAACUCUGUGCCAGCCGCCGCGGUAAAAC